rnacentral:tRNA from 1 species
GGGCUGUUAGCUCAGUGGUAGAGCAUCGGACUUUUAAUCCGAGGGUCGCAGGUUCGAUCCCUGCACAGCCCA